rnacentral:lncRNA from 1 species
UGGGUAUGGAAACUAUCUGAGGAAAUGCAGACAUCGCAGAAUAAUUUACAAGCUGCUUACAGCUGAAAAUGUCCAUCACGGGGAUCGAAUCUAGAUCCAAUGAGAUGAAUCUGUGAUCACAUGAUUCCUAGGCGCACAGAAUAUUGCAAUUUGUAUAAAAGCAAUAAGCAGGUAUAUAUAUAAAAGCGGUAAAUAUAUAUAUACAGACAGGAUCACCAACCAUGAAGCACCUCCAUGGGGGAUCAUAAAUAUAAAUAAAGCUGUAGAUACGGUCAACCACCACGAAGAAAACUCCAG